rnacentral:rRNA from 1 species
GAUGAACGCUGGCGGCGUGCCUAAUACAUGCAAGUCGAGCGAACAGAUAAGGAGCUUGCUCCUUUGACGUUAGCGGCGGACGGGUGAGUAACACGUGGGUAACCUACCUAUAAGACUGGAAUAACUCCGGGAAACCGGGGCUAAUGCCGGAUAACAUUUAGAACCGCAUGGUUCUAAAGUGAAAGAUGGUUUUGCUAUCACUUAUAGAUGGACCCGCGCCGUAUUAGCUAGUUGGUAAGGUAACGGCUUACCAAGGCAACGAUACGUAGCCGACCUGAGAGGGGGGUGGGCACAAGUGGACCUAGACACGGGUCCGACCCCCAACGGGGGGAAGAGGGGGGAAUUCUUCCGAAAGGGGGGAAACCCGGACGAGGCAACGCCGGGUGGGGAAUAAGGGUUUUCGGUUCGAAAACCUCUUUUAUUGGGAAAAAAAAAAUGGUUAGGUAACUGGCCCAGUUUUGACGUUCCCUAAUAAAAAAGCCCCGGCAAACUACGG